GUUUUAUGAGACAAACCCAGCUGAUGAAGAAUGCAAAGUCUUUGAAUAGAAUAGCAGCUUUGGUUAUUAUCGCUGCCACCAGACCAUAUAUUUUGAAUUUGUGUUAAUUUAAUUUAUGAGGGAGAACAAGAACAAAGUGUUCAGACGACAAUAGGUGAGGAUCAUGUCUGGGGCAUGUCUCCUAAAAUUUAAAUGUGUAUGCUAUUUGUCCUUGCCAGGCAGACUUUUCAGAAUUCAUUUGGUUCUAUGAUUUUGUUUUCUUCAUGUGUCGUGAGAAUGGUCAAAAGAAUAUUUCUGUAAGCAGGGCAGUAACUGCUUGGAAAUUAGUUCUUGCUGGGAAUGAACAAGGGAAUGAACACUGAUACAAUUGUUAAGGCCAAGAGUUUUCUUGAUGGUGAUGAAGAUCAGUAUGAAAAAGAUGUGUUUGAGAAGAAUUUGAAGGUGCUUCAGAAUAUUUUUUAGUCAUUAUGCCGAGAUUAGAAGAUUAAUGAUUUUUUGUUUGUUAAGUUCUUUUCGGAUAUAGAGUGCAAACUUUGCAUUUUAAUUGAUAUGUGAUACAAGUUUCAUGUGACUUAAAUUAUCUCUUUUUAA